UGGUACACUAAUUGAUUGUUCCGGAAGGAGUUUUGAUGAAAUACCGCAUACAGAUAUUUCUUCAACUACAACAAUUUUAAGUCUUCGUAGAAAUAACUUAACAACAGUAAGAACAAAUGCGCUUUCUGGUUUAACAUCCCUUAUAAUCUUAAAUUUAUCGGAUAACAAGUUAAUAACUUUACCAGAUGGUCUGUUUUCUAACAACACUAAA